UGGAUCACUGAUGAUAUUUUGGCUCCCUCUACUGAACUCCAUGUAGAAGACUGCCAUUGUUACCCAAUUUUCGUGCCUUAACAUUCU